UCCGCAGGGGGCCCUCCAAGCCCGCCGUGAAAUCCCGGGGCUCAACCCCGGAAGUGCGGCGGGGACUGGCGGGCUGGAGUAUGCGAUGGGCAAUUGGAACACCAGGUGUAGCGGUGGAAUGCGUGGAUAUCUGGUGGAACACCGAUGGCGAAAGCGAAUUGCUGGCGCACCACUGACCCUCAUGGACGAAAGCGUGGGUAGCAAACA
rnacentral:rRNA from 1 species